AAUAGAUACUCGGGUAGUCCAUGCCGUAAACGUUGGGAACUAGAUGUGGGGACCAUUCCACGGUCUCCGUGUCGCAGCUAACGCAUUAAGUUCCCCGCCUGGGGAGUACGGCCGCAAGGCUAAAACUCAAAGGAAUUGACGGGGGCCCGCACAAGCGGCGGAGCAUGCGGAUUAAUUCGAUGCAACGCGAAGAACCUUACCAAGGCUUGACAUAUACGAGAACGCUGCAGAAAUGUAGAACUCUUUGGACACUCGUAUACAGGUGAUGCAUGGUUGUCGUCAGCUCGUGUCGUGAGAUGUUGGGUUAAGUCCCGCAACGAGCGCAACCCUCGUCGUAUGUUGCCAGCACGUAAUGGUGGGAACUCAUAUGAGACUGCCGGGGUCAACUCGGAGGAAGGUGGGGAUGAGGUCAAAUCAUCAUGCCCCUUAUGUCUUGGGCUUCACGCAUGCUACAAUGGCCGGUACAAAGGGCUGCAAUACCGCAAGGUGAGCGAAUCCCAAAAAGCCGGUCUCAGUUCGGA
rnacentral:rRNA from 1 species